AUGCAAGUCGAACGAACCUUCGGGUUAGUGGCGGACGGGUGAGUAACGCGUGGGAAUCUGCCCUCAGGAGGGGGAUAACGGCUGGAAACGGCCGCUAAUACCCCAUAUGCCGAGAGGUGAAAUGAAUUUCGCCUGAGGAUGAGCCCGCGUCUGAUUAGCUAGUUGGUGAGGUAAGAGCUCACCAAGGCAUCGAUCAGUAGCUGGUCUGAGAGGAUGAUCAGCCACACUGGGACUGAGACACGGCCCAGACUCCUACGGGAGGCAGCAGUGGGGAAUUUUCCGCAAUGGGCGAAAGCCUGACGGAGCAACGCCGCGUGAGGGAUGAAGGCCUCUGGGCUGUAAACCUCUUUUCUCAAGGAAGAAGAUCUGACGGUACUUGAGGAAUAAGCCACGGCUAAUUCCGUGCCAGCAGCCGCGGUAAUACGGGAGUGGCAAGCGUUAUCCGGAAUUAUUGGGCGUAAAGCGUCCGCAGGCGGCCCUUCAAGUCUGCUGUUAAAAAGUGGAGCUUAACUCCAUCAUGGCAGUGGAAACUGUUGGGCUUGAGUGUGGUAGGGGCAGAGGGAAUUCCCGGUGUAGCGGUGAAAUGCGUAGAUAUCGGGAAGAACACCAGUGGCGAAGGCGCUCUGCUGGGCCAUAACUGACGCUCAUGGACGAAAGCCAGGGGAGCGAAAGGGAUUAGAUACCCCUGUAGUCCUGGCCGUAAACGAUGAACACUAGGUGUCGGGGGAAUCGACCCCCUCGGUGUCGUAGCCAACGCGUUAAGUGUUCCGCCUGGGGAGUACGCACGCAAGUGUGAAACUCAAAGGAAUUGACGGGGGCCCGCACAAGCGGUGGAGUAUGUGGUUUAAUUCGAUGCAACGCGAAGAACCUUACCAGGAUUUGACAUCCUGCGAACCUCUUGGAAACGAGAGGGUGCCUUCGGGAACGCAGUGACAGGUGGUGCAUGGCUGUCGUCAGCUCGUGUCGUGAGAUGUUGGGUUAAGUCCCGCAACGAGCGCAACCCACGUCUUUAGUUGCCAGCAUUUAGUUGGGCACUCUAGAGAGACCGCCGGUGAUAAACCGGAGGAAGGUGUGGAUGACGUCAAGUCAUCAUGCCCCUUACAUCCUGGGCUACACACGUACUACAAUGCUACGGACAAAGAGCAGCAAGUUCGCGAGGACAAGCAAAUCUCAUAAACCGUGGCUCAGUUCAGAUCGUAGGCUGCAACUCGCCUACGUGAAGGAGGAAUCGCUAGUAAUCGCAGGUCAGCAUACUGCGGUGAAUACGUUCCCGGGCCUUGUACACACCGCCCGUCACACCAUGGAAGUUGGCCACGCCCGAAGCCGUUACUCCAACCCUCGGGAGGAGGA
rnacentral:rRNA from 1 species